rnacentral:rRNA from 1 species
CCUACGGGGGGCUGCAGUGGGGAAUAUUGCACAAUGGGCGCAAGCCUGAUGCAGCCAUGCCGCGUGUGUGAAGAAGGCCUUCGGGUUGUAAAGCACUUUCAGCGGGGAGGAAGGCGGUGAGGUUAAUAACCUCAUCGAUUGACGUUACCCGCAGAAGAAGCACCGGCUAACUCCGUGCCAGCAGCCGCGGUAAUACGGAGGGUGCAAGCGUUAAUCGGAAUUACUGGGCGUAAAGCGCACGCAGGCGGUCUGUCAAGUCGGAUGUGAAAUCCCCGGGCUCAACCUGGGAACUGCAUUCGAAACUGGCAGGCUAGAGUCUUGUAGAGGGGGGUAGAAUUCCAGGUGUAGCGGUGAAAUGCGUAGAGAUCUGGAGGAAUACCGGCGGCGAAGGCGGCCCCCUGGACAAAGACUGACGCUCAGGUGCGAAAGCGUGGGGAGCAAACAGGAUUAGAUACCCGAGUAGUC